rnacentral:rRNA from 1 species
AACGAACGCUGGCGGCAUGCCUAACACAUGCAAGUCGAACGAGACCUUCGGGUUUAGUGGCGCACGGGUGCGUAACGCGUGGGAACCUGCCCUUAGAAUCGGAAUAACUCCCCGAAAGGGGUGCUAAUACCGGAUAAUGUCUUCGGACCCAAGAUUUAUCGCCUUUGGAUGGUGCCGCGUUGGAUUAGCUAGUUGGUAUAGUAAAAGCCUACCAAGGCGACGAUCCUUAGCUGGUCUGAGAGGAUGAUCAGCCACACUGGGACUGAGACACGGCCCAGACUCCUACGGGAAGCAGCAGUGGGGAAUAUUGGACGAGGAGCGAAAGCCUGAUCCAGCAAUGCCGCGUGAGUGAUGAAGGCCUUAGGGUUGUAAAGCUCUUUUAGCCGGGAUGAUAAUGACAGUACCGGGAGAAUAAGCGCCGGCUAACUCCGUG